rnacentral:rRNA from 1 species
UACGUAGGGUGCAAGCGUUGUCCGGAAUUAUUGGGCGUAAAGAGCGUGUAGGCGGCUUGAUUAGUCUGCUGUGAAAGUCCGGGGCUCAACCCUGGAAUGCCGGUGGAUACUGUCAAGCUAGAGUCCGGAAGGGGCGAGUGGAAUUCCUGGUGUAGCGGUGAAAUGCGCAGAUAUCAGGAGGAACACCGAUGGCGAAGGCAGGUCUCUGGGCCACUACUGACGCUGAGAAGCGAAAGCAUGGGGAGCGAACAGG